UGCGAAAUACUUUUUUUGGCACAAUUGAGAGGAUAACCCCCAUCUGAUACCCUUCAGUGCUUAAUAUUCACUAUGCCACAAAUGUAACGUAUUAACAACAGUUAAAUUGCAGUGGUGUCCUUAUGUAGGAAAAUACGCAACAGAACUUUGAAAUUGAUACAUGACACAGAUCUCGCUGUAGUAGCUAGCAACCGUUGCUGUAGUAGUCAUAGCGCCAGCAAGCUGUAAUUUUGUAUGAAGAACCGAAUCCGCUGGAUCGAUAUCCCCAGUUGUUCUGCACAACUUUGUUUGUUCCUGCACUUGUGGUCAAAUGAUAGCCAGUUACGAUGCCAACAUGUCCUUGACCGCUGAUUACGUCACCAUUCUGUUUGCCUCCCGUGCAUAAAUUCCAGCAGCGUUCAUUUCUGAGUACGGAAGAACCAGUGUUUCCCCAUUCUGCCGCACUGAUUGGACUGUACAUAUACCAAUGUCUGCAGUGGAUAUGAAACAAAGACACACAACUCUAGUCACAGAUUGAAACCUAAGAGAAUUACUGACAGUUCCACGUAUAUGGACUUAGACUAUCUAGGGUUUAUGCAGGGAGGUGCAUGUACUGGGUAUAAUUACUUGGAUCCAAACUAUAUGCCGGCAAGUUGACGUUAAUUCAACAGAUUGUUGAGAGUGUUCACGAGUGUUUAACGGAACUGAGAGUACAAGAUUUAGGCGUGCAAAUACAUUGUGUUGGUACAGGUGAAAAUUGAAGUGGUCAGGGUAAAAAUGAUGACGUUGAGAAAACAGGAAACUCUUUUUUCAGGCUGUUUUGUAGCAGUGGGUACAACAAAA